GAAGAAGAUGCUCUCUCUCUCUCUCCCCUCCAGGAGUUCCUGUCGGCGACUCUAAUUUGUCGUUUGUGUCCGGCAAGCUCAGAUCCGUUGCAUUCUUUGGCACGUUGCCACUGCCUCCAUAUAGAAUAUUAUCAUGACCGUUUACCAUGAUCAAUCUAUAGUGGAUUCUGAACAAUGUUGUGCUUGUUCUGUUGUAGAAACUGGGAGCAAACUGUGCACUGUUUGCACCGCCAUACGUAGCUUCUUCGGCUCCUCAGGUGCCUUCGUACUUUGCAUCUCCUCCCGCAUCAGCUCCUCCUUAUAGGACUCCGUUUUGCUAACAAAACUGUUUUUGACUUGUUUUGGAUUUUGGUUGUUGAGUAGCUAUAGUUCUUGUCUUAGCUGUGUUUUCCGUGGUCUCAAGGGUUUGGCUCCAUAAGGUUCUUUCUCAGAGCUUCAAUAAUACGGCCUGGACUCUUCAGACUAAAAAACGGGCAGAAACCAGGAGCAAGCUGUGCACCAUCUGCACCGCGAUAUGUGGCUUCUUUGGCUCCUUAGCUGCUUUCGUACUCUGCACCUCCUCCCGCAUCAGCUCCUCUUUACGGUGCACUCGCCACAACAUACCUUGCGACAGCUCCUGCAUACCCAUCAUAUCCACCAUAUCAAGUGACGUACCCACCUCCACCACAUUUUCCCCAUCCUCCAAUAGCCAAUCCUCCGCCAACAUACCCUUCUCCCACUUUGGCUUGUCCUUUGCGUCCACAUCUGACUCUGACGAAGGCGCUGGAACUCGGUCAUCUUCUGCUCUCUGGCACAAUUCAAAAAGUACUUUCCGUAAAAGACCUUCACGAAGGCAUUCCACUCUGGAAUUGUACAUUCGGGAAACACUCUCCCCCUGGUGGUUUCCCACCAAGUGCUCGUGUUACCUUGCAGCUGGUAGACCGCCAGGACUACCUUGUCCUUUGCAGAGCACCUAAGUAGCGUGAAAACCUUCUCUAGCUCUCGGAUCCAAAGGGUUGCAGUCUCAGGAUCGCUUACACGCAAGAACCUCGACGGUUUUAGCUUUGGGAAUUGCUUCACCAAUUUGUGCAUUAGCUGCUCACCAUUUCCAUUUCCUGGUGGGACUUCAGCAAGUGCGGCGGCAACAACGGCAACGGCAUUGGUGGCAGUAGCGGCGGCGGCGGUAGUAGUAGCUUGGUUAUGAGCUUGUUGAUUAAUCAUAUUCCCCAGAGUCUUUAGCACCUGAAUGAUCCCAUCUAUCCUAGGAUCGCCUGGUGCUCAUCCCCCAGUACCAGCCUGUGGCAGUACUCUUUCCCUCGCGCUAGCCUAAGUUGGCGCUCUAUCUUGGGCAUCGAUCUUAGUCGGCGUUCUUCCCCAAGUACCAGUUGAAAUUGCCCUCUUUCGAGGAGUCCUCUGAUCAGGAUCACUCAUCUUACAGAAUCUUUACAAAAACCUGCUUUCCAAUUUUAACAUGGAAUUAGAAAUU